CAUACUGAUGAUUGGAGUUUUGAUUCACCUAAAGUACCAUGCAAGAGCACUCAUUUUCCCUCUUGAGACCAUGGUGUGACCUGCAAGGUCGAAUGGAGACUGUAAACGAGACAAUCUUGGAGUCACCUGCAUUCACUGGUCCAGUUGUUAGUCCAAUUACAGAUGGAGAUUAUAGAAGAGGAUGAUGUCUUUUCUCCAACAUCUUUCUAGACUGAUAAAAGAUCUAGACAGGCUCAAACAAAAGUUAACAGACAGAGGGGCUUAUAUAGAGAAUGGUGAGCAGCUACACAUAAAAGAAGAACAUGGAGAAUCUGCCCAGAGGUGUUAAC